AAGAACUAUUUCUCAAAAGUUUUUAUUGCUUUUUAAAAAUUUGUGGUUUGUUUACUGAGACAAUGCCUUGCUGAGCAGCUCAGGCUGUCAUUCUUUCCAUUCUCUGACCUCAGUUUCCUGGGUUCCAGGGUUGCAGGUAAGUGCCACACCGUGCUUUAGUGCUGUUUGAAGACCACUUACUUUAGGCUUCCAUCUUUAAGUUUUUCUUAGCUUCUUGGGCACUAACGUUUAGUGUAGUUACAAACCGGAACCUAGCUCUGCCAAUCCAAACACUUCCCUCAAGCAAAACACAAAAACAUUUCAAUCUGUCUGUGAAAAAAAAGAGUAGUGGUUGCCAAGAAAAAUGAAAGUGGAGGCGGGAAGCAAAGAAUAACAGUGACAGUGAGUUGGAGCGCCUGUGGGGAGAGAGCCAGGACAGCUGGGCUCAGGUCCCAGGGGCGAGGCGCGGGAGCUCUCCAGGGUCCUGAAUGCGGGAGCGGCCUCGGGCACUCCCAGGCCUGGCUGGGUUCCCAGUGUCUCGCCACCCGGCCAGCCUGUUUUCUUUUGUCUGUGGAAGUUGUGGGAAGGGAUUGUUGGGGGAUGGGGGUGGGGGCAGGGAAACCUAGCAACCCAUUCUUAUUCAUGAGGCCUUUUGUGGGAAGCCGCCGAGCCCUGUCUGAUUUGUCUCUGUCGUUUGUAUGCUCGGGAGUUGAUCUGGGUUUGCAUUUCUGUAAAUCAAAAUAGAGUAAGACAACAUCCAAAAGUAAACUCUUGAUCUCUAUCAUCUUCUCCUGCUGAAGUCUUCACCAGACAGGGUUGGAGUUCAAAGUGAGUAAGAAAGGAAAUGGGCAUCUUUCAUGACUGUGUGAUGAAUUAGAGGACAGGAAAAAUCUCUGUAGAAUAAACAAGGUAAGUGAACCAUUUGGAGAUUUUAGUGUGGUGAUGUAUUGAGUCCCCCAAUAUACUGUGUCUCCCAAUAAAAUUUAUCUGAGGAUCAGAGGAAAAAGCUAACCACUAUAAGUAAACAUAGAAGUCAGGCAAUGAUAGCACACACCUUUAGUCCUAUCACUUGGGAGGCAGGGAUCUGUCUGGAUCUCUGUGAGUUCAAGACCACACUGGGGAACAGAGCCAAGCAUGGUGACACAUACCUUUAAUCCCAGCACUAACCAUAGAGGUCUUGAGGUCUGUACAGACAGUCAGGAAGUGACAGAGCUGGGCAGGAAGAGGAAGUGAUGUAGCUGGGCUGAGAGAGUCAAUGAGAGAACAGAAUAGAAAGGCAUAUAGGCGUGGGUAUACAGGAAGUAGGUCUCUUUGGAGACUGAGGUGCCGGUGAGGUGAGGUUAGCUUGUUGCUUUUCCUAUUUCCUUACUCUCUCAGGUUUUCACCCCUAUAUCUGGCUCUGUGUUUUUAUUUAAUAAGAUCUUUUAAAAUUCAUCUACAUUAAAUAAAUUUUAGAUUUAUUUAAAAAGCAAUAGGAAUUUGCUAAAAAGCUGAAAGGAAGCAAAUGACAUGAUGCAGCUGAGACUCUGCACACCAGACUGCACUUCAGGGGUGAAGCAAAGGAUGCAGCUGAGACUCUGCACACCAACUGCACUGGAGGGGUGAAGCAAAGGAUGCAGCUAAGACUCUGCACACCAGACUGCACUUCAGGGGUGAAGCAAAGAAUGCAGCUGAGACUCUGCACACCAGACUGCACUGGAGGGGUGAAGCAAAGGAUGCAGCUGAGACUCUGCACACUAGACUGCAUGGAGGGGUGAAGCAAAGGAUGCAGCUGAGACUCUGCACACCAGACUGCACUUCAGGGGUGAAGCAAAGGAUGCAGCUGAGACUCUGCACACCAGCUGCACUGUAGGGGUGAAGCAAAGAAAGCAGCUGAGACUCUGCACACUAGACUGCACUGGAGGGGUGAAGCAAAGGUGGCUGGAGAGAAAAAGGAGGCUUAACACUAAUCUAGGUGAGAGGUGAUGAUGAACUAGGCAGCAUAUCAGAGACUGGGAUAGAAGCUGUCACAGUUGCAUGAGCAAGCCUCACCAGUAAGAAGUUUAUCAUAAUGGGUAUUCAGAAAAGACCUGAUGCCAAAGGGAACACCUGUCUGUCCCCAUGGUUCCUGGCUGGAUCUCCCAAUUUCAUGCUGGUAGAUCCAGAAAAUCAACACAGAAGAUGGCAAGAACAAGGGAAGAUGUUGUUGUGUUCAAAGUGGGCAAUUUGCGGCAGGGCUCAGAAAGGCUGUCUGGGCUUUGUAGCUUUUCCAGUAGUUUCUAAUGAAGUGAGCUUUGUGAAGCCUUACUUGGCCAUGCAGAGGCCUGUUAUUCUCUGGUUUUCUUUCUUUUCUGGCCUGGUUGCUGAAAAAAUUUGUAAGCAGUCAUUGAUUUCUUUGAGUUGGAUGUGACUGAAUUAGGCUGAUUUGCUUAGCAUUUUAAAGGGUUGUUUUUCUUGGUGAAGUUGGAGGUUGACACUAUUUUGAAAUGACACAUUUUAGGAGCUAUUCAGGAUUCAUAACUAACACCAACUUCUUUUAGGUCACAUGAGUGUCUGAAAGAAGAUUUUUUAAAACAAUUUUAAUUAGAAGAAGUCAAGAAAUAACAAAACUGCACAUUAUGGUGGGCAUGAAGCAGGGAAACAUUUUUUUUUGUCUACCAAUAUAUUGAUCAAUAAGCAUUGCUUUGGUUCCUACUAUGUGCCCAGUAAGCAUGAGUGCCACUUGUAGAUGGAGAUAAAAAGUCAGCAGCUUCUUGAAAGAAACUGGCUACACACCAAGUGUAUUGGCUUCAAGGGGUUCCCAGGACCUCAUAGGACCCUGGACACACAGAUGCAGGUUCUCUAAGAACAUUUGAAGAGCCUGCGUCUUUAAGGGUUACUGUAUUGUUUUUCCUCCAAUGCUGGGGAUUUAAUCCAGGGCUGCCGGUGUGCUAGGCAAGCAUUAUGCAAUGGAGCCACUCCCCAACUCCAACAUUUUGACAUACUUAUCUCAUUUGAUUCUUUUUCAAAACAACAUAUUAAAAUUUAUAUGUGGG